UUCUUCCUGCCAGAAGAUUGGAAACAAUGCUCAUUUCUGAUCAGUUCAGUAAUACAAUGUCCUUCAAUGUCCACUUGAGCAUUUCAGUGGCGAAGAAAAGAAACUUUGCUACCUGGGAACUGAAGACUGCUUAGGUCAGUGAAUGCUAAUAAAGUCCUUAAGGACUCAUGGAACCAGGAGUUAACUUUUCUCAACUGUGAAGGCAAAGAUGGGCUGUCUGGAAAGCUGGACUCAGCCUGGAGCCUGCUACCCAGAUUGCGAUUUUGUGAAGACUUCCGCAUACAAAUGACUCAGAUGCAAACAUUCAGAAAUGAUCUUGGAGGGCCAUCUGGUCCUUGCUGGUUCUAAAAGCUUCAUUCAGCCUGGUGGAUGGAGCCCGUGCAAAAGAGAGUGAGGGCCCCGCACUGAGGUUUAAAUACGUUCCCCUGACCGAGGCGAGAAGCUGACUUUCGAAAUAGCGGAGGCUCGAGGGCCGGCUGAUGUCGCCUCCCUCUUAUAGAUGCUGGCGUUCCGCAUUCAGUCGUUCCCGUCUUUCCACGACUGUGGUGCUCCAGGAGAUCUGCCCUAUAAGAUCUGGAAUACCGUCAGAUGAAAUAAACUGGUAAGUCCUUCUCUGCAAGUUGAAUGUUUUGUUUCAAAAGCCGUGCCGGAUGCCUACAAAGAUUUCCUCAGUCCCUAGCGCCCCGGCCCAAAGACAAGAAGCAAAACCUUGUAACGGUCAAAAGCAGAAGUUAAUGGUUUAGAACUUUUAGGCCAUCCGGGGAGGUCUCGUCUAGCAAGAUGGCGCCUUCAAGGGGUUUCUCACUGUUGAAGCAGAAGUUUAACGUUAUUGGUUGUAUGAUCAUCAGGUGAGGCUUAUGGUUUGCGAGAGAGUAGGUAGGGCUCUGCCGUGUACCAGCUUUCUUCAGCAAGGCUUUCCCUCUUCUCCUCUCAGGAUAACAUGCUUUCACAGAGAAUCUUGAUGUUUCCCUGUGAGUGGUUUUAUAGGGGCUUCACCUAUAGCAUGGGCUUUGCUGGGGCCCUAGAGACUUACGUUGGCCCCUGGUAAGUUCACUAAUGGCAGUGUCUGUAUUUCUAUUUUUUUAAAUUGUUAAAAAAAAUGUUUAAUGUUUAUUUAUUUUUGAGAGAGAGAGACAGACGGCAAGCUGGGGAGGGGCAGAGAGAGAGGGAGACACAGAAUCCGAA